UUCUAGCCUCAGCACUUUGCUUCCACUUUACCACCAUUCCUCCUCCUCCCAUGCCAAGCUGCUACUCAUUUCCUCACUUAAUGCAGUAAAUUUAUUCCCACUCAAUUUCCCACCUUUUAAAGGCAUCAUAACAGGCUAUUCAUGUGGUUAUUUCUCAACAGGUAAGACUCAAAAUACAGAUCAGUUUUACAGAAAAAUACUUCGGCUGACUGGUGUUAUGAAGAAGUUCACACAAUUCUAGGUUUAGGAAACUGAAGUUUAAGUUUUGCUAUGCAGAGCCAAAAUCUAAUCAAUCUCUUAAUAUCUGAAAGGAUGGACAAAGGAGGGGAGAAAUGCAAAAUCAUUUGGGAGGAGCUAGAAUCAAGAAAUAUACCGUUCGAGUGGAGAAUUAGGACUUCUGGAUAUCUCAACAUUCAAAAAUAUUUUCUUCCUAGUAGCCCUUAUUCUCUGUUGCAGAAGCCUUUAAAUAUUAUCCUUCAGAAGAACAUCAGCUUAGUCUCUGCUCUGUGGACUUCUGCACUGAAGCCAUGAGCACCAUGCCUCCAUUGUCCUGUCUCUCAUGAGCUAAGCUCCCCGCAGCCGUGCCUGCUGUUCUACUGCCACCCUGUGAAGUGAGGACACAGCCCACCCUUUCUGGGUAAAAAAAAGCUGGCAGAGAGCAGAAGUAAACACAGGAGCCAUUUAGCCAGGUGCAGCUUGCAGAUGCACACCAAGUGACACAAAAGCACCUUUACACAACCUAACCCCAAGGUCCAUUUGCAUUACUUAUACUCAUACAUAACCAUUAGGUGCUGGUCCUGAAGGUUCCCGUUGCGAACAUACCUCACCAAGCACGCUGCACCCCAGUGCCAGGAUCUUCAUCCACUCCACCUCUUCAUCAUGGACGUCCAGCUGCAGGAUAGCUUCCAGCUGCUCCUCGGGCAAGCACAGGUUUUUCCAUUUUUCCUUCAGUUCUUCUACACUAACCAUACCCUUAGGAGAAAGCUGUAAACAAAACCAUGCCACCACACUAAGAACGCUGAAAACCAGAGUGAAACUAAGAACAAGUCCCUCACCAAAAUACAUCAAGUAUUUGACAGUCUCCCCAGCUGUCUACAACAUUUUUUUGUCUCAGAAAACCACAUUAGCAUUUGUCACAAUUGCCAAAGGCCGGUUUGUACCUGUUUAUGCAAGACUUUAAGGAGCCCUGGGGUCAAACCAGCAUCUUCUUUCUGUUUCGCUAAAGGCAUUUCCACCCUCUCCUUCACAGGAAGGGCUUCUCCUUUUGACAGCGCUGUGAAGUACCUACAUGAAUGGGAACAGCAACACAUUUUAAUGCAUAGGAUGAUUAAAAGCUACACAGAAGUAAGUGGUCUUACAGUUCCAUAAAUGAAUCUCCAUGCUCCCACACAUAGGCAGCAGCGUUCAGCGAGCUCUCUGCAUGCAGGAUUGCUAUUCUCCCCUGCCCAGGGGGUAAUUCCACCGUUCCUUUUAGUGGAAACCACACUUUAAGACUUUACAUAGUCCUUUUUAUAAUACUCUAAUAAUUCUUAAGUAACUUAACCUAUUUUAUGCACAAUACACUCAGCCCUGCUUGGCAACUGCGGACAGUAAUUUCCUAACUUCAGAAUGUGCUUGCACAACCUCACACAGACUUUUCCUAUUAGACCGAUGAGCAUCUUACUGCUGAUUUAAUUUACAUCCCACAUGCUACCCAAAAACCCCUGGCAACACUGUUAGCACUGCAGCAUUCACAUAAGCAUUGGUGCUAUUUCUGUCCACUCCGAAAUAAAAUUUAAGGAUAGAGCAAAAAGAGAAUGAGAUGCACAUGCUUUUAAUUAUAAGGCUACCACAGCCUUUAGAGCUACCAUCUCUGCCAUAAAGCAUCCAACAAUCUAAACUGGGAAAAACAAAACAAAACAAAAACAAACAACCAAAAAAACUUAGUUUUCAUUCAGGCAGUGGUGGGUCUAACUCGAGCAUUUCUUCAUUCUUCCUCAUUCGUA